GACGAACGCUGGCGGCGUGCUUAACACAUGCAAGUCGAACGGUGAAGCGAGUGCCUGCUCUCGUGGAUCAGUGGCGAACGGGUGAGUAACACGUGAGUAACCUGCCCAUCACUCUGGGAUAAGCACUGGAAACGGUGUCUAAUACUGGAUACGACCAACCCUUGCAUGGGGAGUUGGUGGAAAGAUUUAUCGGUGAUGGAUGGACUCGCGGCCUAUCAGCUUGUUGGCGGGGUAAUGGCCCACCAAGGCGACGACGGGUAGCCGGCCUGAGAGGGUGACCGGCCACACUGGGACUGAGACACGGCCCAGACUCCUACGGGAGGCAGCAGUGGGGAAUAUUGCACAAUGGGCGAAAGCCUGAUGCAGCGACGCCGCGUGAGGGAUGACGGCCUUCGGGUUGUAAACCUCUUUCAGCAGGGAAGAAGCGAAAGUGACGGUACCUGCAGAAGAAGCACCGGCUAACUACGUG
rnacentral:rRNA from 1 species